rnacentral:lncRNA from 1 species
GUUUUUAGUUGAGAUUAGUUUAAACGAGUAGACCUUUGAUUAUUUAUUAUAUUUUUGUUGUUUCUGUGCUUCGUGAGUUUGAAAUAUACUCAAGUUUCUGGGCUUUUAGCAUUAUUGUUUAGCUGAUUUUGAUAAAACUCAUUGUUUGUAAAUUUAAUAGCUUACUACGUUUGCCUUUUCCUUAAAUAAUUUUUGAACCAUUUAAUAGUUUUGAUUAUAAAAUCAAAUAUAUUGUUGAAUCAAUUUAA